GCUUCGGUUCGUCCCAGGAGCAAUUCUGCACUAUUAAAGCUAGUAUUGCACUUGAGACGGCCGGAUU
ncrna:Drosophila yakuba microRNA dya-mir-312 precursor